rnacentral:misc_RNA from 1 species
UACGGAGGGUGCGAGCGUUAAUCGGAAUUACUGGGCGUAAAGGGCUCGUAGGCGGUUUGUUAAGCAAGAUGUGAAAGCCCAGGGCUCAACCUUGGAAUUGCAUUUUGAACUGGCAAGCUAGAGUUUUGAAGAGGGUGGUAGAAUUUCCAGUGUAGCGGUGAAAUGCGUAGAUAUUGGAAGGAAUACCAGAGGCGAAGGCGGCCACCUGGUCAAAAACUGACGCUGAGGAGCGAAAGCUAGGGUAGCAAACAGG